rnacentral:rRNA from 1 species
AUUGAACGCUGGCGGCAUGCUUUACACAUGCAAGUCGAACGAGUGGCGGACGGGUGAGUAAUGCUUGGGAAUCUAGCUUAUGGAGGGGGAUAACUACGGGCAACUGUAGAUAAUACCGCGUAACAUAGGAUGAGCCCAAGUGGGGUUAGGUACUUGGUGAGGUAAAGGCUAACCAAGAAGACGAUCUCUAGCUGGUCUGAGAGGAUGACCAGCCACACGGGGACUGAGUCAGGGCCCAGACUCCUACGGGAGGCAGCAGGGGGGAUGAUUGCGCAAUGGGGGCAACCUGACGCAGCCAGGCCGCGUGAAUGAAGAAGGCCUUGGGGUUGUAAAGUUCUUUCGGUAGCGAGGCGUUAACUACAGAAGAAGCACCGGCUAACUCCGUGCCAGCAGCCGCGGUAAUUC